GCGGAGGAAGAGAAGACGUGGAACUAGUCAGCUGUAGCACCAGAGGCUUUGUUGUAUCUUUUGGUUCCUUGAUAGGAUUUUUGCCAUAUCGCAAUCUUGCAGCCAGGUGGAAAUUCUUAGCUUUUGAAUCUUGGUUGAGGCAAAAAGGUUUGGAUCCAUCCCAAUACAAGCAAGGUCUGGGGAUCAUUGGAGGCUAUGAUGGUUUUGGC
rnacentral:misc_RNA from 1 species